UGGGGAAUUUUGGACAAUGGGGGAAACCCUGAUCCAGCCAUUCCGCGUGAGUGAAGAAGGCCUUCGGGUUGUAAAGCUCUUUCGGCAGGAACGAAACGGUUUGGGCUAAUACCCCAGACUACUGACGGUACCUGAAGAAGAAGCACCGGCUAACUACGUGCCAGCAGCCGCGGUAAUACGUAGGGUGCGAGCGUUAAUCGGAUUUACUGGGCGUAAAGCAUGCGCAGGCGGCGGUUCAAGUCAGGUGUGAAAUCCCCGAGCUUAACUUGGGAAUUGCGCUUGAAACUAGAUCGCUAGAGUACGGCAGAGGGGGGUAGAAUUCCACGUGUAGCAGUGAAAUGCGUAGAGAUGUGGAGGAACACCGAUGGCGAAGGCAGCCCCCUGGGCCUGUACUGACGCUCAUGCAUGAAAGCGUGGGGAGCAAACAGGAUUAGAUACCCAAGUAGUCCCUGAGCGGGCUGGCAAGGCGCAU
rnacentral:rRNA from 1 species